GGCAAAGUUGGUAAUCAACAGGAUCCAUUUUUGUUGUGUUUUCAAUAGAAAUUUUCAAAUCAUUUUAUGGAAACAAAGCCCUAGUUUUAACUGAAUACCUUAAUUUUUCCUGGAGAUUUAGUCCUCCAUGAACCAUCCAAACUCAAUCCAACCAGCUAGUUGGGGUUUUAGCUGCAUGGAAACUUCAUCUCUGCGAAACAUCUGUUUUUAGCUCGAUGUUUCUUCAAAUGGGGAAGGAAUUUUAUAUAUUGAUAAGCAUUAUCAACUAUAGUGCUGCAGGAUCAGUUAGAGAUAUGCUAGCAAAUUUUUAUUUUGAGAAAUAU
rnacentral:misc_RNA from 1 species